CUACGGGAUGCAGCAGUGGGGAAUAUUGCACAAUGGGCGCAAGCCUGAUGCAGCCAUGCCGCGUGUAUGAAGAAGGCCUUCGGGUUGUAAAGUACUUUCAGCGGGGAGGAAGGGAGUAAAGUUAAUACCUUUGCUCAUUGACGUUACCCGCAGAAGAAGCACCGGCUAACUCCGUGCAAGCAGCCGCGGUAAUACGGAGGGUGCAAGCGUUAAUCGGAAUUACUGGGCGUAAAGCGCACGCAGGCGGUUUGUUAAGUCAGAUGUGAAAUCCCCGGGCUCAACCUGGGAACUGCAUCUGAUACUGGCAAGCUUGAGUCUCGUAGAGGGGGGUAGAAUUCCAGGUGUAGCGGUGUAAUGCGUAGAGAUCUGGAGGAAUACCGGUGGCGAAGGCGGCCCCCUGGACGAAGACUGACGCUCAGGUGCGAAAGCGUGGGGAGCAAACAGGAUUAGAUACCCUUGUAGUC
rnacentral:rRNA from 1 species